GCGGGAAUGGCUCAGUGGUAGAGCGCUGCCUUGCCAAGGCAGAUGCCGCGAGUUCGAAUCUCGUUUCCCGCUCCA
rnacentral:tRNA from 1 species